rnacentral:siRNA from 1 species
AGGUGCGGCGAGAAAAAAUAAAUU